rnacentral:rRNA from 1 species
UACAUGCAAGUCGAACGAGACCUUCGGGUCUAGUGGCGCACGGGUGCGUAACGCGUGGGAAUCUGCCCUUGGGUUCGGAAUAACUUCGGGAAACUGAAGCUAAUACCGGAUGAUGACGUAAGUCCAAAGAUUUAUCGCCCAGGGAUGAGCCCGCGUAGGAUUAGCUAGUUGGUGGGGUAAAGGCCUACCAAGGCGACGAUCCUUAGCUGGUCUGAGAGGAUGAUCAGCCACACUGGGACUGAGACACGGCCCAGACUCCUACGGGAGGCAGCAGUAGGGAAUAUUGGACAAUGGGCGAAAGCCUGAUCCAGCAAUGCCGCGUGAGUGAUGAAGGCCUUAGGGUUGUAAAGCUCUUUUACCCGAGAUGAUAAUGACAGUAUCGGGAGAAUAA